rnacentral:lncRNA from 1 species
GGGACCCCCGGGACCCCCGCCCGGGAAUCCCCGGUGCUCCCGGUCCCGGUUCCUCCCCGUUCCCGAUGCUCCCGUUCCCGGUAAUUCCCGUUCCCGUUGUCCCCGUCCCGGUUCCCGCAGCUCCCGGUCCCUCCCGGUGCUGCCCCGAUCCCCCCAUUCCCGGUACCGGACCCAGCCCCGGUUCCCGGUGCUUCCAUCCCCGUCCCGGUUCCCGGUACCGGAUCCAUUCCCGGCCACUCCCAAUCCCUCCGUGCCCGGUCCCUCCCGGUUCUUCCCGGUGUCCCCAUCCCCGGCCGCUCCCGGUUCGCCGCUCCCCGGUUCCUCCCGCUUCCCGCAGCCUCUCCCCGUUCCCCGCGCCCCGUUCCCGGUGCCCGCUCCUCCAUCCCCGGUCUCGGUGCCGCUUCCCGGCCGCUCCCGCAUCGCCGCGCUCUGUUUCCCGUUCCCGGUUCCCGAUCUCCCAUCGCCGGCCCUUCCCGGUGCCGCGCCCCGGUUCCCGGUCACUCCCGCAUCCCGCAGCCCCUCCCCGCGCUCCGUUCCCCGGUGCCGGUUCCCGGUUCCGAUUCCCGCAUCCCCGGCCCCUUCCGCUCCCCGGUUCCCGGUUCCCGGUUCCCGCUCCCCAGUCCCGCAUCCCCGGCCCCUCCCGGUGCCACUCCCCGCUCCCCGGUGCCGCUCUCCGUUCCCGUUCCCGGUUCCUCAUCCCCGAUUCCCCCAUCCCCGGCCCCUCCCGCAUCCCGCAGCCCCUCCCCGUUCCCGGUACCGCUCCCCGUUCCCCCGUUCCCGUUCCCGUUCCCGUUCCCGGUUCCCGGUCCGUACUGCAGUGGGCGAAGCCCAGGACCUGCCCCAUGGCCGCGGCCCCCGCAUGGGGCUCCCGGUGCCGCCAUCACGGGGCCGCCAUCGCCGGUGAGCGCCGCGCCCGAGGCCACGCGCGGACACAAAGGGCGGCGGCGGCGGCGGCGGCGGCGGGGGAGAGGGCGGGGCCAUGGGGCGGGGCCAAGCGGAGGGGCGGGGACGGAACGGAGCGGCGGGAACGGGGAACGGGAAUGGGGAACCGGGAAACGGGAAUGGGGAAUGGGAAACGGGACCGGGGAACCGGGAGGGGGCCGGGGAUAGCCGGGGAUGGAGGGAACCGGGAGGGACCGGUCACGGAGGGACCGGGAGUGGCCGGGGAUGGGAGCACCGGGAGCCGGGAAUGGGGAACGGAAACCGGCGCCGGGAACUGGGAAUGGGGAAGGGGGAACGGGGAUAGGAAAACGGCACCGGGAAUGGGAAAUUGGGAACUGGGAAUGGGGAAGGGGCACCGGGAACCGGGAAUUCAGACCGGGAACCGGCACCGGAGAGGCGGGAAUGGGGAAGGGGGAA